rnacentral:lncRNA from 1 species
CUCCGUUUAAAAAAAAAAACAAAAAAAACACUAAACUAAAAAACGAAGGAAAAAGAAAACAUGGAGUUGUUCCUUUGGCCACAUGCAUGCAAAUCUGUAAGAAAAGUAAUGUUGUAGACAUCAAGGGAAUGGGUACUGUUCACAAAGGAAUGCCCCACAACUGUUAUCAUGCAAAACUGGAAGAGUCUACAGUAUUACCAAGCAUGCUGUUGGGAUUCUUCUAAACGGACAAGUUAAGGGCAAAAUUCUUGCCAAGAGAAUUCAUGUACGUAUUGAGCACAUUAUUCACUCUAAGAGGUCAGGAGUU